GGGAUCGUGGCGCAGUUGGCUAGCGCGUAGGUCUCAUAUAGGUUAUUUCAACCCGAAAUGCACCGUAUGACCUGAACAAGGGCAAUCCUAAGGUCGUGAGUUCGAGCCUCACCGAUCCCA
rfam:Gaeumannomyces graminis var. tritici R3-111a-1 unplaced genomic scaffold supercont2.6, whole genome shotgun sequence.